CCCAGGCCUACUAUGUCUGACAUUCUGGAAGGAGGCCCAGUGGUCUGUAGCGUAACAAGCGCACCAGGUGAUUCUGAUGUGCUGCUCAAGUUUAAGAACCACUAACUUAAAGAACCAACACAAACUAUGGCUCCUGAUCUUCCCUCUCUACUUUCUCCAAAAUCUAUCCCACGUCUUCAUUUUUUAAUUCAGAAUGGGAGAAGAGGCAGAUGCAAAGUUAGAGGAAAAGGAGUAAGAGAUAAGAAACCUCAGAGAUAGAACCUCCCUCUGCCUGGUCCAAGGAGAACAUAUGGGGCAGAGCCCCUAGUUGACCAUCAGUGGCCAUGUGAUUCCUUCUGGCGAAUGAAAUAUGAGCAGAAAUAGCAUGCAUCCCAUCCAGGCUGAGACCAGUGAGCCGCCUCUUUGUCUGUCUACUACUCCUUCAAGAAAUGACAAUGAAGCCAUAUACUGAGAAACUGUUACUUCCAUAUUGUGUCAAUCUAUAUCUCCAAGUCGCCAUAUACCCAAGGUCUAAUCCCCGAUUGUUUUUGCUUGCAUAAGAGAGAAACUAUAUAACCAUAAAACGUUCAAGUCACCAGAAUGAUGUAAAAAUUCUAAAUUUGAAUAAUAUAAUAAAAUCAAAAUGUAUAAAGCUAAUAUUAAUCAAACUGCAAAUGGAAGUUGCCAAAUUCAUUAUCUUAGUCACGCCAAGAGUCACCUUAUAAACAGCAGCACAAAUUAAUGAAGAAAGUGAAUGUUUGAAGAGGAUCGGUCCUUCCAGUUGUGCUGUCUGGGAUGCCACCUCUGCAAUGGCCUGAUGAGCAGUGCUAGGUCUGCGCCCAGGAUCUGAACUGGCGAAACCCUGGGCCACUGAAGUGGAGCACGCAAACCCAACCACUUGGCCACGGGGUCAGCCCCAAAAUACAUUGUUUUUAUGUAAGAAUUUCAGUUUAUUUCCUUUUAAAAUUAUGUCUAGUUAACAGACCUUGACUUUUACCUCAAAACGCUCAAAUUUUCAUUUGAAACUCAAGAUGAGCAAAACAAAAUCAAAUACCAACUAACUCUGGAACCAAUCAAAUGCCUAAAAUCUCAGAGGAAUUUUGCUAACUAUAAAUGAUAAAAGUAGUGGAAGAAAAAUAGUUUGUCGCCUGCUCGUGCUUGACCUCAUGAAAAGAGCAAACCACUCAUCUAUGAGGAUUACAGAAGAGAGAAUUUGGCCUUCUCCCACUUCCUGUCCACUAACUCAUGGGAACAGAUUUGUACCAACGAGAAAGCUGCGUAGUCCUCCCUCUCCCACAUGGGAAACAUUUCUACGUUGCCCUCCUUCUUUCCACUUUUAUGUCGCUCACUUUCAACAUUCCACUGCCUAAGAUGGCCAAACCUCUUGCCUGCAUCAUGGUAGAGACGGCAGCUCCCAUAAAGACUCCCUAAGGUCCAGCAGAUCUACAGGAGAGGAAAGCAGGCUAGAUAUCAGCACUGGGCUAAAGGAACAGCACCUCUCCUCCAGCUGUAAGUCUAAGAACAGGAUUUGGUCCACAUCCAAAUGGAAAUGGAGUAGCGACAUAGGCAAUCUAAAUUUUUUCCCAGGUGGCAAGUUCUAAGUAUGAUCAGAUAACUUCUCUUUUGAAGAAGAGUAAACAGGAAACAACGGCAAAAUUAACAAUAAUAAAAUGUGUGAUGUUUUGGAAGAAAGUCACACAGUAAAAGGAAUAACACAAUUCUAAAAAUUAUUAGUACAUCAGUAAUUAGAAGAAACUUUAAAAACUUGUACCUGUAAGAUAAGGAAGAUGACAUAUCUAUGAAGCUGGAACAAAAAGUAAUAGAAAAAGAAUUACUGAGAUAAAAUAUGAUAGGAGGAAUUUUUUAAAAAUCCACAAAAUAAGAUGCAAAGGCAAUAAAACAGAUAAAAAGGGAAUACAAUGAGAAAAGUAAUGAGAAAAAAUCUGCAAGGAAUUGAAAACACGAUGAUGAAAUUGAAAUCUUCAUUGGCAGCUGUAAGCAACAGAAUUGAUCCUACGAAAAAAUUUAUCAAGGAUGGAAAGGAGAAAAUAAUGAGAAAGACAAAUUUUCCUUUGGUGGAUAGAGAUCAAAACUAAGAAAAAUACAUUUUCUGAAAGAAGAAAUCUGAAGAUUUGUAACGGAAGAAAUAACCAAGUUAUAGUUGGAAAAGUCCUAAUAUGAACCACAAAAAGACAAAACCACAAUCACUCAAAUACUUUUAAAAACUUUUCUCUGGUUUCUAUGUAAAAUCAAUGGAAAAAACUUAUACAUCUCCCAGCUUUGACUCAAAUGUUCUGUUCUCUAAGACAGGAAAAAACAGGUUAAUUAAAAAGUUGUAAGAGCGGCGUCCUCUCUGUUUGGGAGUAAAAUGGGCACUCAUGUGUAUGUGUGUGUGCAUGCGCACAGUAGGGAGCAUGAUUGGAAGAGUAGUCAGAAUUUCAGAAGAAUGCAGGUGACAUCAAAGUCCAUCACCAGAACUCCAAUGCAGGAGUCUUAGAUCAAUACUGGAGAUGAAAAGAGUAAUUUAAGCUGAUACAUUAGAAAAGAGUUGGCUGGAAUAUAUAUGUAGUAACUGGGCUGGAUCAUCCAAGUUGGAUCACGAAGUUGAAGCCAAAUUUAUUGAAGAUGGCAGAGCAAGACUCAGAAGCAUCAUGUGGUGUAGUGACUGUGGACUCACCAUCCUUCCUAUGUCUGGACUGUGUACCUCUUCAGUAACAUAUGAGAGACAGAAGCUGAUAUCUUGGUCUUGGCUAAACACCAUUUUGUGAGUUUUCUUACAUUCAAGGGUGAACUUAAUCUCAGCGUAUUUGUUUUUGCUGCUUUGUCAGUGAAGCAAUUGUGUUUGGUUCCACAUAUUUUUACUAAAAUUAGAAUGUGAGACAGAGCUGUACAUAAUAACAGAAGGCUUUGUGUUUUUAAAAUAUUUUAGAUGCACAAAAAGAUAUGAAGAAUAUGAUAAAUACUCAGAACAACUACUAAACCUAAAAAAUAAGACAUUUUAAAUAGUUUUGAGUUUCCCAUGUGUCUCUUACUGGUCUCUUUCUCCUCUCCCGUCUACCAUGCCCCAGUGUCCAAGAGGAAUAGCUAUUCUGACUUUGGUGUUCAGCAUUCCCGUGCACGUGUUCACACUUUUCCUGAGAAGGUUAAUAAUAUGGAUUUUUCAGAAUUUUGAAUUUAAUAUAUAGGGCACUACUGUAGUGUGAAUUGUGUCUCCCUUGCCCCCAAUUCAUAUGUUGAAGCUCUAAUUCUCAACGUAAUGGUAUUUACAGAUGGGGCCUUUUGGAGGUAGUUCAGUUUAGAUGAGGUCGUGAGGGAGAGGCCAUCACAAUGGGAUUGGUGUCCUAAUAAGCAGUGACAGCAGAAAGCUUCUUUCUCCUUUUCUUUCUUCACCAUGUGGGGACAGAAGGUGCUGUCUGCCAGUCAGGAAGGGGGCGCUCACCAGGAACUGAAUUUGCUGGCCCCUUGAUCUUGGACUUCGCAGCCUCCACAGCUGUGAGAAUUAAAUGUCCCUGGCAUUAUGCCACUCAGUGUAUGGCAGUUUGUUAUAACGGCCUGAGCUGACUAAGACAAGCACCAGACUGUAUGCAGUUUUCUGCAGGCUGCUUUCUCUCUAAUCAUCAUUGUUUGAGAGAUGAACUCAUGAUGAUAUUCUUUCUGAAACUGAUGAUUUCUCACCUUUGCUACUUUUUGCCAAAUUGCACCGCAAAAUUAAAGGUUCUUCACAUCCAUGUCAACACAUAGCAUUGCCAAAGUCUAAAAACUGCCAAUCUAUUA
ensembl:lncRNA